rnacentral:misc_RNA from 1 species
CUUCUUCUUCUUCUUCUUCUUGUUAGUAUUGUUAUUAUUGGUUCUUCUUCCUAGUUUAACUGUGAUUUGGCUGUUUGGUGUCUGAUAAAUGAAUGAUGAAGAAAGGAAAAGCAAAACAGUAAACUAGAUCAUGUUUGAGUGUUUUUUUUGGCUGUUUUUGUAUAAGAUUUUGUUUUCUUGGGUUGUAGAUGAUGAGCCAUUGUAAAUAUUCUUGCUUAUUAAAGGUUAAAGGUCUCUGUUUUUUGCAGUUUGAAGUAAGAAAAAAGGAUUUCUGAUUUUCUUGGACGCUAGAUGGUGAACCAUUAAUGUUUGAGUUCGUUAAGCUUUUGUUAUCUUUUCUUAGCCUUAUGCUGUUGUUGUUUUCCUGUUUCUGUGAAGUGAUUAUGUUAUACGGAGUGACAUAAUCUGUUUCCUGUCCUUUUCUUUUUGCUCUGCUUGUAUUAUAUAUGGUGCCUAAAUAAGAUUUGCCUCCAUUUAUGUACGUGGGCUUAUAGCCAUUUGUGUGCAGUUUAAGAAUGUUUUCAAACAAAAGAAUUGGACAUGGAACUAUACAGAACAUUUAUUUUACAUGGCGUUUAAAUUUGGAUUCUCUACAUCUCACAUUGAUUAUGUGUUUUGUUCUUGUGGUUUAUGGUCAUUGUGCUCAGUAUACCUUAAGCUGGGAUGAGCUCCCGGCUUUUGCACUUAUGCGCUUUCAGGACAGGUGACACGUAGAAGAAUUUAAGUUAGUGACAAUUUGACUGUUUGGUACAAAUGGUUCUUCCUAUGGCUAACUGCUGAAGCAAAAGAAUGUUCUAGCUAUUUCCUUGUAAAUUUUAAAUUGCAUCUGGUGUUGAUACAGCAUUUACACUAAAUCCAAAGAAUAAGAUUGAGGAUACUGGUUUUGUUGCUACUUCAGCUUCUAUGUUCAAGUUUCUGGCAAUAAAUUCUGAUAACAUGAAGCAAAUUUAAUGCUUAUCAGCUUUUGUGAGUGAAGCAAGUCUAACUUAAAGCAUAAAGGGAUGCAUUUCAGUGUGAUCUGCAUUGCAAAAGCCUAAUGUUU